GAGAAUGGCAAUCACUGCCCACAGACAGCAGAGCCCAUCUGCUCUUGGGACCUCAAAAGCGCUGGCCCUGGUUAGUGCAUGGAUGGGAAGUCACCCGUGAAUAUUAGGUGCUGUGAGCG
rnacentral:rRNA from 11 species